UGGGGAAUAUUGCACAAUGGGCGCAAGCCUGAUGCAGCAACGCCGCGUGAACGAUGAAGGUCUUCGGAUCGUAAAGUUCUGUUGCAGGGGAAGAUAAUGACGGUACCCUGUGAGGAAGCCCCGGCUAACUACGUGCCAGCAGCCGCGGUAAUACGUAGGGGGCUAGCGUUAUCCGGAGUUACUGGGCGUAAAGGGUGCGUAGGUGGUCUUUCUAGUCGGUGGUUAAAGGCUACGGCUCAACCGUAGUUAGCCUCCGAAACUGGAAGACUUGAGUGCAGGCGAGGAAAGUGGAAUUCCCAGUGUGGCGGUGAAAUGCGUGGAUAUUGGGAGGAACACCAGUAGCGAAGGCGGCUUUCUGGACUGCAACUGACACUGAGGCACGAAAGCGUGGGUAGCAAACAGG
rnacentral:rRNA from 1 species